UUUCCGUAGGUGAACCUGCGGAAGGAUCAUUAACGAGUUACGAUCUUUCAGACCCUACCUCCAAACCCUUUGUUUAUUGAACGGCUGUUACUUCCGCGGACCCGUGUCAGGACCGCCGGAAGAACGCCGCGAGGCGAACUUUGGCCAGAGUCCUCAUAGAACCAACCAAUAAACACAACAAAGAAAUCAUUGGAUUUUGUAUCAGUCUAUGAUUAAAUUAAAGCAAAACUUUCAACAACGGAUCUCUUGGUUCUGUCAUCGAUUAGUAACGCAGCAGAU
rnacentral:misc_RNA from 1 species